rnacentral:lncRNA from 1 species
CUUUACCCCUGAUGUCAAUUCCUGUGCUUUGCUUAAUAAAAAUAAAAAAAUACCUCUUGCAGAUUUUAGGCUUUUUCAGAGAGCCAGCCAGAGGAUCCUUCCACCUCACCUCUGCUGUCUCCCUUUUGCUCAACCACAAGUCCCAAAAUAAAAAUCUUGUCUGGGAAAUCUGCUUGGCCCUGUGUUAACUUCUGUUACAUGGGAGCCAAAGAGCCUGUGGUCUGUAACAGGUUCUCUGGCAACCAUGACGGGAUUAUAGGACGUGGUGAGCAUUUUUCUCCAAGGAGGAGGCUUGUGAGCCAGCAUGAUGGCGGGGUGUGCCUGCCUCCUUCAUGGGUGACAGGUGGUCACCUGAAUCUUUGAUUCAGCAUUGCCACAACUGCAUGGCUUGGCCCCCACAGCUAUGGCACAGGGAGCAGGGUCAUCAAAAUCCACUCUGCUCUUCCAGAAGCUGCAGAGAGAGGGAACCCUAAAACCUGACAUGCCAGAAAAGAUGGAGUUUUGCUCUUGUUGCCCAAGCUGGAGUGCAAUAGCGCAAUCUCGGCUCACUGCAACCUCUGUCUCCCAGGUUCAAGUGAUUCUCGUGCCUCAGCCUUCCAAGUAGCUGGGGUUGCAGGCAUGCACCACCACACCCCACUAAUUUUUGUAUUUUUAGUAGAGAUGGGGUUUCACCAUGUUGGCCAGGCUGGUCUCAAACUCCUGACUUCAGGUGAUCCGUCUGCCUCAGCCUUCCAAAGUGCUGGGAUUACAGGCGUGUGCCACCACGCCCGGCCUGAUUACCAGAUUUUCUUGUUGAUUGUGUCAUUAGUCAUGGCUAUCCUAAGACUUUUGCCAUCCACAGACAAUUGUUAUCUUGUUUUGAUUCUUUUCAAAAGGCAGUUUAUAAUCAGCUAUAGAACUCUGACAGGUGUUCUUGAAAGCAAGUCUCUGAUAACUUUGGAGAUUGGACUAUUAGAAUAGAGGAAAAAACUUCUAAGACUUUCCUGGAGAUGUUACAUGUUAAUAAAUAUUGAGUGGAACAAGAGUUAAUUGCAUGGACUAAACUAAUAGAAAAUCGAAAUAAUCUUUUUAUAAAUUUCCUGAAAUUCUGCUGAUCCUUUUUGUUUUGGUUUUCAGAGUCAAGAAAACUUUUUUCCUGUUGAACUAGUUAUAUCUUUUAACAAUUAACUACUAUAUAUUCCUAUAAGCAAAUUUGGAGCAUGUUUCUUUCUACCUGAUUUCUUUAGAAUUUGGAAACUAUUUGUGACUAUUCUUAACUUAUGGCAAUAUAGUUAUUUGCAUAAGUUCAAUAAGAAUCUGUUUUCUUUUGUAACAGAACACAAGUGGGGACACUGGCUAUUUUACCAGGCUUUUGACUGAAAUGGCAUGCUUCCAACUGCUUUAAAAAUUUGAGGUUGACUUAUAAAGCCGAUAAAAAGCCCCUUGGAGAAACUGGCCUCAUACCUUGUCUAUGCAGUCCCUGUAUAGAGUAAAAAAUGUCACUUUCUAACAGGUUCUGGAACUCCAAGUUGUAUUGGGACCUUAAGAGGGGAGGAAUUCACACAAUUCAUACAAGUAUUUAUAGGGACAGAUAAAUCAGUGGCUAGGUUCAAGGCUUUAAAAAGUCUAAGCUAAGGUUCCUUACAGAACAAAGUUCCCGCAAAAUAAAAAAUAUAUAUAUAUGAGAGUCUAUACGACAAAUAAUUAUUCUUGCUGCACUUUAUGCAAAUAAUCAGGCCAAGUAUAAUAAGACUAAAACUUAAUUGCAAACAAAUCAGUACUACCAUGAUUUGUCUUUGAUAAAAGUGAAACUGGAGACAAAAAGACCAUAACAUACCUGUUGUUAGAUUCUAGUCUUGUCCAUUGUUAUUGAGUUUUAAAAUAUUAUUUUCUAUGCAACAAAUAUCCAAGCUAACAUUUUCAAGUUUUUCUUCCAUUUUUCUGAGUUAAACACAAUAAAAUUGCUAGUAUCUCUUUUCUAAGGCCCUGCAGACUAAAGUUUAUUUCUUAUAACACAGGCAAGAAAAAUGUGUCAGAUUGCCAGCAUCUUCCUCCUCUGUAACUAAAGAUGCUUUGAGUGUAACGUCUGGGUAGAUUAUGCCCACGAUUAAUGUUUGUUUUUCUUCUGGUUCCAUAUAAAUGCCUCUUAUUAAAAGUCUAUUUGUCUUAUAUUUUGACAACAGGAGGUUGGUUCUCCAGUCAAUUCACUUACAUUUCAAAUGGCAUCUGAUCUCUUCUUAUAAGCAUUGUUAAACUGGGCUUAAGCAUUUUAUUAAUCACUGGGUGCUAUUUGAUUUUUAAAAUAAUUAUUUAUUAUAUUCAACAGGGGUACAGAUAAUUAAAGUUUAUGUCUUCAGGCUUCAGCCAUUCCAAGUCACGCUACUGAUGGCCCAAGGAGUCCAACCCUUACCAUCACAGGAGGAUCCUAGUUCCUACUAAUCUUUAGAACAGUCAGUGAAAAAUUUCCAUGCCCUCCAAGGUUAGGCAGGGAUGACAAUCCUAUUCAGUAGGAAGUAGCUUCAGAAGAUGAGAUAUUUGGCCCUCUCUAAGAAUAAGGAGAAUAUAAUCUCUCAGGGAGGAACUGAGAUAGAAUAGGAGUGGGAUGUGGCUCCCUCUUCACAUAUUUUUUCUUCUUUAUUCUCUUCACAAAAUCCACAGCACUAUCUUGCUGAUGCUAUACCAACUAAUCCUGAGGCUUUAGUCACACAUAGAAAACAGUCAUUCUUCUGUGCUCUCAUAAUGUUUAACCACACCUUUUAUUUAAAAUAUUCUAAAAGUUGGACUUAGGAAAUCUUAACACUGAACCACAAUUGCAGAGUGUCCCACCUCGGGAAAGAAUGCUGAACAAUUGAUUUACAGCCUUGUCGUUGCUGGCCAGACCACCAGGUGGCCCAUUACUCAAGAUAACCAUAGCAACAAGAUGCGCUGACCUGCAUACCCUACCCAUCAUGUGCUUUGCCCAGCUCAGCCUGAAUGUUUUACCCCUGAUGUCAAUUCCUGUGCUUUGCCUAAUCAAGCAAACAAAAAACCCUACUGGAUUUUUUUAAGGAGCCAUCCAGAGGAUUCUUACACCUCACUUCUGCUGUCUCCCUUGCACUUCAGCACAAGCCCCAAAAUAAAAGCUUUGUCUGGGAAAUCUGCUUGGCCUCGUGUUAAUUUCCAUUACAGGGGAGGCCAAAGACCCUGUGAUCUAUAACUCUCUCUCUCUUUCUGUCAUAAAUUAAUGAAUGAAAACUGAAAUGCAUCCAAUGCCACGGAGAACUUUUAUUAGUGAUCAUUUCACUUAAUAAUUUAAUUCGUCUCACCACACCUUGUUUCUUCAGCCAUAAAAUAGGGUUUAUAAUGUAUCUACUUUGUAGGGCUGUUGGGAGGCAGAGAAAAUAUGUAUAAGAUGCCUAGAUUUGUGCUCACACGAAGUAAACGCCUAAUAAAUGUUGGCAUUAAACAUUUAUAUGAAGAAUGUUUUGAUUUUCAUGUUCUUUUUGAAUACUUUUUACUUCUUCAAUUUUCUACAAUGAGAAGAAUUACUUAAUAAUCACAAAGCAAAACAAAGCAUGAAGGGCUUUAGAAAAAUCUCUGGGUGAUAUUAAUUCAAUA